rnacentral:lncRNA from 1 species
CGAUAAAUGGCUGACCCGUGUUAAGAGAGAGCAAUAUCUCUUGCACGUAAAAGACACCCAUAUAGAUUUCGGAAAAGAACAGGCUAAUGCCACUACAAGGCAGCAAACGCACCCGCAAAGUGGAAAGGGAUUAAUAUAAGUUGUAAUAACUUGUUUCCCAAUCCACUAUAAAUAAAUAUGUUCAAACUAAGCGCCAGAUGUCCGCCCGUCCCCAAUUCACAUUUUAUUUUUUUCCUCUGAAACC